UACGUAGGGGGCAAGCGUUGUCCGGAAUCAUUGGGCGUAAAGAGCGUGUAGGCGGCUCGAUAAGUCCGCUGUGAAAGUCCAGGGCUCAACCCUGGAAGGCCGGUGGAAACUGUCGGGCUAGAGUCCGGAAGAGGCGAGUGGAAUUCCUGGUGUAGCGGUGGAAUGCGCAGAUAUCAGGAGGAACACCAAUAGCGAAGGCAGCUCGCUGGGACGGUACUGACGCUGAGGCGCGAAAGCGUGGGGAGCGAACAGG
rnacentral:rRNA from 1 species